AACGAUGAAGCCCAGCUUGCUGGGUGGAUUAGUGGCGAACGGGUGAGUAACACGUGAGUAACCUGCCCCCGACUCUGGGAUAAGCCCGGGAAACUGGGUCUAAUACCGGAUAUGACCAUGGAACGCAUGUUUUGUGGUGGAAAGAUUUAUCGGUGGGGGAUGGACUCGCGGCCUAUCAGCUUGUUGGUGAGGUAAUGGCUCACCAAGGCGACGACGGGUAGCCGGCCUGAGAGGGUGACCGGCCACACUGGGACUGAGACACGGCCCAGACUCCUACGGGAGGCAGCAGUGGGGAAUAUUGCACAAUGGGCGCAAGCCUGAUGCAGCGACGCCGCGUGAGGGAUGACGGCCUUCGGGUUGUAAACCUCUUUCAGUAGGGAAGAAGCGAAAGUGACGGUACCUGCAGAAGAAGCGCCGGCUAACUACGUGCCAGCAGCCGCGGUAAUACGUAGGGCGCAAGCGUUAUCCGGAUUUAUUGGGCGUAAAGAGCUCGUAGGCGGUUUGUCGCGUCUGCCGUGAAAGUCCGAGGCUCAACCUCGGAUCUGCGGUGGGUACGGGCAGACUAGAGUGAUGUAGGGGAGACUGGAAUUCCUGGUGUAGCGGUGAAAUGCGCAGAUAUCAGGAGGAACACCGAUGGCGAAGGCAGGUCUCUGGGCAUUUACUGACGCUGAGGAGCGAAAGCAUGGGGAGCGAACAGGAUUAGAUACCCUGGUAGUCCAUGCCGUAAACGUUGGGCACUAGGUGUGGGGGACAUUCCACGUUUUCCGCGCCGUAGCUAACGCAUUAAGUGCCCCGCCUGGGGAGUACGGCCGCAAGGCUAAAACUCAAAGGAAUUGACGGGGGCCCGCACAAGCGGCGGAGCAUGCGGAUUAAUUCGAUGCAACGCGAAGAACCUUACCAAGGCUUGACAUGUGCCAGACCGCUCCAGAGAUGGGGUUUCCCUUCGGAGCUGGUUCACAGGUGGUGCAUGGUUGUCGUCAGCUCGUGUCGUGAGAUGUUGAGUUAAGUCCCGAAACGAGCGCAACCCUCGUUCCAUGUUGCCAGCCCGU
rnacentral:rRNA from 1 species